CUUAUAUUAACAUGUAAAAUAAAUAAAUGUAUUAAUAAAAUACUUAUACCUUAACAUAAUAGACAAAGACUGGCCUCUAAAUGGCUAGAUUCCCCAGCAUAAGCAUUUUAUACAUUUAAAUCGUUUGCUAGUUUGUGUUCGUUUCAACUGUCUUGUGCUCGUCUUAUAUUUAUAUAUUUCUAACAAAGAUGAUCCUUUAGAGGAUUCGGAAUCAGAUUAUUCUGAACAGCGAUCAGAAAGCGACUUCAAUAUUUCCGAUGAUGACAUUAUAGAAAUAUCGAAUAAAAAAGGAAAGCGCCCAAGUAGUAAGUAUUAAAUUGCAACCUACAUAUUUAUGUCACGUGCUUACAUGCAUUGCGUUUAGGCUAUCCUAUUUAUCCUCAUGGACAAAGUAAAAAGAGUUAUCGUGCUUGUGAAAUGUCCGAUCGUCUGUUCAAACGAACGCGAUAUUUUGCUGGCCCAUUAAAGUUAUAUCAACGAGAAGUAAAGUGCUAAAAUUAUAUAAUGACGACUACUGCGGCGUGGAUCAUCAUUUGGAAAAACCAUAAGAAACCGUUGGUCGAAUGAAGAGCGUGAAGAAAUAUACCAGGCUUUUGGAGACCUGUUGUCUCUUAAAGGAUUGCCGUCGCUUAAGCAAUGCAACGCAGUUAUAAAUAAUUCUACAUAUCUAAAAUGUAGGACACCGGCGCAAGUAAAAACAUGGAUAGAUAAUCAGCGCAAGGCUAAAUCAAGAAAAUCAACUCCGCAAACAGAUUGAAUAAUG
rnacentral:misc_RNA from 1 species